rnacentral:lncRNA from 1 species
AGUUAAUGUCCAGUAGUGGAAUCCACAAGUUGGUCUUUUCUCGACAGUGGGAAGCUAUCUUUAGGGCAUGCUUUGUUCAAGUUCGUGAAGUCUACGCACACCCUCCAUUUCCCGCUAGGCUUCUUCACAAGGACCAAGUUGGAUAUCCACUUCGGAUAUAUGGCUUCUUUGAUGAAGCCGCUGCUGUUAAGUUUGUUGACUUCGUCUUUCAAUGCCUUGUACUGCUCCGGGUUGAGGGCUCGUCUUUUCUACUGAUGUGAGGCACAGGAGGAGUUGAUGUUAAGGCGAUGGCAAAUGAUCCUUGAGUCUAUUCCCACCAUGUCUUCGUGCUUCCAAGUGAAGACAUCAAAGUUCCUUUUCAGGAAGCUUAUCAUUUCUUCUUUCGCUUCGAGGGAUAAUGUCUUUCCAAUUCGCAAGACUUGACUGGGGUUCUCUGGGUUGACGGAGAAAGUUUCAAGUUCUUCAAUUGGGAUCGCAUUCGGUUCUGAGUCAGUAAUUCGGGGGUCUAACUCAUCAAGAGGGUGCCCUUCUUCAGGGGCCUCUUCCAUAUCGAUGUCUUCCUCCUGUUCGGAGGUAUGCCCUUGUUCAGGGGUGUCGAGCAUUUUCACGUCCAAGUCGGCUUCGUUCGCAACCUCUGUUAUGAUCACGUUAACAGUGCGGGGCUCUGAUUUUCACAGAGUUUAGGUAACAUGCUCUGGAGCCCAUUUGGUCACCUCGGACCGUAGCAAUUCCAUGCUCAGUUGGGAACUUUAUACACAAGUAAUGCAUGGAGGUGACAGCCCAAAGAUCUUUCAAGGCGAGUUUGCCCAAUACUCCGU